AUUGAACGCUGGCGGCAGGCCUAACACAUGCAAGUCGAACGGAGGGGCGGACGGGUGAGUAAUGUCUGGGAAACUGCCCGAUGGAGGGGGAUAACUAAGCGAAAGAGGAGAUAAUACAGCAUACUAUUGGAGCGGCCGAUAUCGGAUUAGCUAAUUGGGGGGGUAAUGGCGCACUAAGGCGACGAUCCGCAGCUGGUUUGAGAGGACGACCAGCCACACUGGGACUGAGACACGGCCCAGACUCCUACGGUAGGCAGCAGUGGGGAAUUUUGGACAAUGGGGGAAACCCUGAUCCAGCCAUCCCGCGUGUGCGAUGAAGGCCUUCGGGUUGUAAAGCACUUUUGGCAGGAAAGCGGUACCUGCAGAAUAAGCACCGGCUAACUACGUGCCAGCAGCCGCGGUAAUAC
rnacentral:rRNA from 1 species